rnacentral:rRNA from 1 species
UUACUCGACGCAGCUGAUGCAGCACGCGCGUGAGUGAUGAUGCCUUCGGGUUGUAAGCUCUGUCGUUAGGGACGAUCAUGUCAGUAUUAAAGCUAAGCACCUGACAGCUCCGUGACAGGAAGCGCAGGCUUACUACAUGCCAGCAGCCGCGGUAAUGGGU